GUUGAAACAUCAGUUCCUAUAUGAUCAUUGAAGUUAAGCAACAUCAAGCCUGGUCAGUACCUCGAUGGGUGACAGCUUGGGAAUGCCAGUUG